AGGGCCGGUUCUGCUCCGCGCUGACUCCCUGCCCUUUUCUCUCCAGCUGGUGGAGAGGAGGAGGAGCGCAGCACAGGACUACCUGGGCCAGAGCCUGCUCUACCUACAGAGCCCGCAGGAGCCCCUGCGCCGGGAGGCCGUGAGGUUCAUCGGUGAGCCACCAGACUGAGCUGCCCCUGGCCCCGGCCCUCCGCGUGGCACCCAGGGAGCAGCCGGGGUCGCUGAACAUAUGACCGCAGAGCUCAUUGGGAGGCACGACAGUCCGACGGCGCGGACCCGGUGGUGGCGGUUCGGGCGGUGCUGACCCCGCGGGACGGAACCCGGCGCCCUCCGGCGGCUCCGCGGGGCACCGCGCACGGCUGCGCUCCGGCGGGGAGGGGGGGACCCUGCGGUUUGUGCCCGGAGAGGAGGAGGAGGGUUUUGCACCUGGAACGUCGGGGUGAGCGACUUUUUACAUGGUCUGAUAGGACAAAGGGUAACGAUUUUAAACUGAAAGAGGGGAGAUUUAGGUGAGAUGCUGGGGCUAAAUUCUUCACUCAGAGGUCGGUGAGGUGCUGGCACUGCUGCCCAGAGCUCUGCGUGCCAACCCUGGAGGUGCCCCAGGCCAUGGAGGGAGGGGUCCUGGGCAGUCCGAGCUGGGGGGGCAGCCAGCCCAUGGCAGGGGUGGGGCUGGGGGCUGGGAGGUCCCUUCCAGCACAACCAUGCUGUGAUUGAUUGACUAGGAGCAGGGCAGGGUGCCUUGCCGUGGGCUUUAUGCAUGGCUCAUUUGCACUUUUCGAGGCAGGAGAGGCUCCCCGGGGUUACGUUCUGUGCAUCAGCAUCUCUUCAGGUCACAAAUACCCGCUGUGGUGACAGGACUGCUGCCACACAGAGCCGCACACUGUCACCAGUGCUGCUUGGCCCUAUCCUCAUGUUGACACAAACCUUCGAUGCAGGAAGGAAGUUCUCGCAGGGCCUCUACUGGCUGCAUCCAGCUCACCAAGGAGCAGCGCAGAGCAUCAGGCACAGUGGCAUCAUGAGGCUGAGGAAGCACACAGAAGUGCAGUCAGGCCCCCACCUCUGUUCUGGGCACACAUGGUGCCCCUCUGAGGCUCAGCCAACCCUGGGGAAAGGCGGAACACAUUUAAAAGAAGAAAAGGAAAAGGAAAAAAGAAAAAAAACCACAACCAACAAAAGAACACUUUAUUUACAUAAAUUACAAAAAAGAAAAAAAAAAAAAGGAAUCUUGGGCACAGAAAAGAUCUACUCUUAA
rnacentral:lncRNA from 1 species